GCAUUGGUGGUUCAAUGGUAGAAUUCCUGCUUUCCAUGCAGGAGACCUGGGUUCAAUUCCCAGCCAAUGCA
rfam:Alligator mississippiensis ScZkoYb_315, whole genome shotgun sequence.